CACGAAUUUAGCCGGGGCUUUUUCUACGGCUACCGUCAUUAUCUUCACCGUUAAAAGAGCUUUACAACCCGAAGGCCUUCGUCACUCACGCGGCAUGGCUGGAUCAGGCUUGCGCCCAUUGUCCAAUAUUCCUCACUGCUGCCUCCCGUAGGAGUCUGGACCGUGUCUCAGUUCCAGUGUGGCUGAUCAUCCUCUCAGACCAGCUACUGAUCGUCGCCUUGGUGAGCUCUUACCUCACCAACUAGCUAAUCAGGCGCGGGCUAAUCCUUGACCGAUAAAUCUUUGGACCGAAGUCAUUAUACGGUAUUAGCGUCAGUUUCCCGACGUUGUUCCGUAGUCAAGGGUAUAUUCCCACGUGUUACGCACCCGUGCGCUACUCUCUAUUGCUAGAGCGUUCAACUUGCAUGUGUUAGGCCUGCCGCCAGCGUUCGUUCUGAGCCAGGAUCAAACUCU
rnacentral:rRNA from 1 species